UCUCUCUUUCUGUCUGUAUAAUAUAUCACAAACAGGGAGCAGACAUAGGGUGACAGAAUUGUGUGUUCCCAGGAAAGCUGGUGGGGAAAAAAAAUGAAAAGAAGUAAGAUUACAGACACCACACAGUUAUUGCCCCUGACCCGCGAGAACAGGAUUGCUCAAGGUGCCAUCCAAGGACUACCUGAAUCGGAAUCAUCCGAGGAGCUCAUUCGAUACUAGAUUUCUGAGUCAAACAGAAUCAGAAUUACUGGAGUGAGGUUCAAGAAUCUGAACUUUUAACAAGCAUGGAAAGCAUCCAAGGUGGAAAUAGAUUGUUGGCUUGCAAGGUGGGGCGAGGCAGGACUGGGGCAGCCAGGAUCCCCAGAAACUGUCACCUGCAGCCCAAGACCCCUGCUUUCCUUCACUUCCCUGUGCAAUACAAAGACUGUAAUUUUCUACAUGCGCCAUGAAGUAAAAAAGUUUCAUGGAGUUUCCAGAAUUUCCUAGAGAAUUGCUAAAUUAGUAUUUCUAGGGCAGGUUCACAGUGAUCAUUUCUAAAACUUCUACAGGACAAUCUAAUGUGCUCUGAUGCUUAAGUACCAUCGCUUUAAAACAGCAGUUCUCAACUCUUUAAGGGCAAAGAUACCCUUUCAUAACAUUUUGCAAUGUCUCCUUUAUUAUCCUAGAGUGAAAUCCAUCAACAAUAUAACUGCCUAAAUAUAAAAUUCAAAAUAAUCCAUAUAAUGCCCUAAAUAACACAAAGGGGAAACAAAAUUAAAAUGAUUUUCAUUACAUAAAUGCUCAGGUUAGUCAGACACUUGCUUGUACCUAAAGGAGAAUCAUGCUGAAAGCACAGUUCGAAUGUAGACAGACACAGCGGUAUUGAAAUGGUGACGCAGGAGCAUGAGCGCUGCUUUCUUGGAUGUGAUACUUUGAAAUAGUAAACAACUUUUAGUAAAUUUGCAAAGAAAACAAAGUAUAGUCUUCUCUUGAUUUACAUGGUAGUUACAGACCUAGAAAACUCACUGAUAUUUAAAACCAUGUAAAAAACAUUUUAUUGACAUAUCCUAAGGCUGGAUAAUUAGAGACAUAUUUUUCUCCUACAUGAAUGUCGGACAGGACAUUCGAGGCCAUACGGAAUGUAGAAUAGUUCUUCCUGGUGUGGUACCAUCCCAGGGACUAAGAGUUGUCUAGCAUCCCUCAUCACCACCUACUAAAGGCUAGUAGCCACCCACCCCUCCAUCCCCAAUCACUGUGAUAAUGAAAAAUAAACCCAGCCAUUCAACCUCUCCAAACAAUAUGAAUAGAGGUACCUGUGUCAGGCUAUAAUAUUAUUUUCCCUUGUGACACUAUCACACAUGAUAGUGACUCCAGAAUCUCUGCGUGAUUCUACCUAUACUUAUAAUAUUUUCAAAAGCAAAUAUUUACAUAAAUUCUACCAUAACAGAAAUUGCUGGUGAAAUUCUACAUGAAUGGAAUGAAAGUUUCACAGAUAUGAGAAACCUUCUUCAGAAAUUCUUGAAAAAACAAAUGCAAACUACUUUUUUUUAACAAUCAAAUUGCGUUUUCCUGUUGACAUAUUUCAAUUUCAGAGCUAUCUUCUCACUAUUAAUAUUCAGUUGGCAGUGUCUCCGAAGCAGUUCAGCUCUGCAUGUGAGUGAAAUAUACCAAACCACAGUUUAAAUGUAUUAAAUGAUUCCAAAAUGCAUCCUUUUAGUGUUAAAAUGGUUUAUAAACAGCUCAAGUAAAUUACCUUUUAAAACACAA